AGAGUUUGAUCCUGGCUCAGGAUGAACGCUGGCGGCGUGCCUAACACAUGCAAGUCGAACGGACUUACAUUGAAGCCUAGCGAUAUGUAAGUUAGUGGCGGACGGGUGAGUAACGCGUGGGUAACCUGCCUUGUACUGGGGGACAACAGUUGGAAACGACUGCUAAUACCGCAUAAGCGCACAGCUUCGCAUGAAGCAGUGUGAAAAACUCCGGUGGUACAAGAUGGACCCGCGUCUGAUUAGCUGGUUGGUGAGGUAACGGCCCACCAAGGCGACGAUCAGUAGCCGGCCUGAGAGGGUGAACGGCCACAUUGGGACUGAGACACGGCCCAAACUCCUACGGGAGGCAGCAGUGGGGAAUAUUGCACAAUGGGGGAAACCCUGAUGCAGCGACGCCGCGUGAGCGAAGAAGUAUUUCGGUAUGUAAAGCUCUAUCAGCAGGGAAGAAAAUGACGGUACCUGACUAAGAAGCCCCGGCUAACUACGUGCCAGCAGCCGCGGUAAUACGUAGGGGGCAAGCGUUAUCCGGAUUUACUGGGUGUAAAGGGAGCGUAGACGGUUUUGCAAGUCUGAAGUGAAAGCCCGGGGCUUAACCCCGGGACUGCUUUGGAAACUGUAGGACUAGAGUGCAGGAGAGGUAAGUGGAAUUCCUAGUGUAGCGGUGAAAUGCGUAGAUAUUAGGAGGAACACCAGUGGCGAAGGCGGCUUACUGGACGGUAACUGACGUUGAGGCUCGAAAGCGUGGGGAGCAAACAGGAUUAGAUACCCUGGUAGUCCACGCCGUAAACG
rnacentral:rRNA from 1 species